GCACAUCCUGCCCCAUCUACUUAACGAUCAAGAAUCAGCCUGUUCAGUCACACAAAGAUGCACGGUGAAAAGAUCGAACAACUGGGGCUUGUCACCACUACCGAAGACCAGGGGCUGCUAACUCUGGACAAUCAUUGGAAGAAUAGAGCAUUCCAUUGGGCUGUGAGAUGGUGUUAUGCAGUGGAAUGUGCUGAUCAACCACCCAUUUAACCUUCAUGGAACCAAUGGACACCAUCAUUAUACAAGCACCAAAAUCAUAUCUGCCUCGGAUCACCAUCAUCAUCAUAUUUAUUUCAUAGCACCCUGACUUCUGCAAUUAAUCAAUCUAUCAAUCUUAUUCAAGUGGGAACAUUGGCUCAGUAGAUGGCCACUUUUAAAAUAGUGCUUUUACAUUGUUGAUAUUAAUAUAGCCUCAAGGCUCAUACUCACCACACCUUAAAAUGUUUCCUGGCCUCUUAUUGCCAGCUGAGGCUUUGCUAUCACUGUCUGUGAUUGUAGUCCACUCAUAUUAAGGAUCUGGCUUGCAUUAACUUAGAAGUCUGAUCAUUGGUAAUCAAUACCUUCAUUGACCAUUGUCUUCCAACUAUGUACAGGACCAGGCUUUACACAAGGAUUCUACACAGUACCAUCCCUCAGAUUGGAGAGAGAUUGUAAUCUGAGAGU